rnacentral:rRNA from 1 species
CCUACGGGGGGCAGCAGUAGGGAAUCUUCCACAAUGGGCGAAAGUCUGAUGGAGCAACGCCGCGUGGGUGAAGAAGGUCCUCGGAUCGUAAAACUCUGUUGUUAGAGAAGAAAGAGCGUGAGAGUAACUGUUCACGUUUCGACGGUAUCUAACCAGAAAGCCACGGCUAACUACGUGCCCGCAGCCGCGGUAAUACGUAGGUGGCAAGCGUUAUCCGGAUUUAUUGGGCGUAAAGGGAACGCAGGUGGUCUUUUAGGUCUGAUGUGAAAGCGUUCGGCUUAACCGGAGUAGUGCAUUGGAAACUGGGAGACUUGAGUACAGAAGAGGGGAGUGGAACUCCAUGUGUAGCGGUGAAAUGCGUAGAUAUAUGGAAGAAAACCAGUGGCGAAAGCAGCUCUCUGGUCUGUAACUGACGCUGAGGUUCGAAAGCGUGGGUAGCAAACAGGAUUAGAUACCCGGGUAGUC